CUUUUGUAACGCACUUGUAAUAUACAUGUGCAUUUCGAGAAAACGUUCCAUGGCGAUGCCUAAUUCAGCUUGUUCCAUUUCGAGUUGCGAUAAUGCAUCACAGUAGGCGGUAUUUCGCUAGCCCAAGAAAAUUUGCAUUUAGGACAAGUAUGCCUAGCUUCCCAAUAUCGAUGCAUGAUCGAUUGAAGGAUAGAAGCGAAGGGAGUUACUCCGAUCCCAGUUGCAAUUAAUACUGCGUGUUGUGCUUGGAAUAUAUGACUCGAGGGUGCACCGUAUGGGCCAUCUAAAAAUAUCUGUAUCACGAUUCAUUAUCGGUACGUUAUCGGAUUAUUUUGUAGAUGACAUUUUAAUAAAUUCUUAUAACUAAUGAUCGAAUAAA